rnacentral:rRNA from 1 species
GACGAACGCUGGCGGCGUGCCUAAUACAUGCAAGUAGAACGCUGAAGCUUGGUGCUUGCACCGAGCGGAUGAGUUGCGAACGGGUGAGUAACGCGUAGGUAACCUGCCUGGUAGCGGGGGAUAACUAUUGGAAACGAUAGCUAAUACCGCAUAAGAGUAGAUGUUGCAUGACAUUUGCUUAAAAGGUGCAAUUGCAUCACUACCAGAUGGACCUGCGUUUUAUUAGCUAGUUGGUGAGGUAACGGCUCACCAAGGCAACGGUACAUAGCCGACCUGAGAGGGUGAUCGGCCACACUGGGACUGGGACACGGCCCCGGAUCCCACGGGAGGCAGCAGGAGGGAAUCUUUCGCAAUGGACGGAAGUCUGAACGGGCAACGGCGCGUGAGUGAAGAAGGUUCUCGGAUCGUAAAGCUCUGUUGUAAGAGAAGAACGAGUGGGAGAGUGGAAAGUUCACACUGUGACGGUAUCUUACCAGAAAGAGACGGCUAACUACGUG